UGCGUAGGGUGCAAGCGUUGUCCGGAUUUACUGGGUGUAAAGGGCGCGCAGGUGGGCUUGAUAGUUAGAGGUGAAAUCCUGUGGCUUAACUGCAGAACUGCCUUUAAUACUUCAAGUCUUGAGUGCGGAAGAGAGAGACGGAAUUCCAGGUGUAGUGGUGAAAUACGUAGAUAUCUGGAAGAACACCAGUUGCGAAGGCGGUCUCUUGGUCCGUAACUGACACUCAGGCGCGAAAGCGUGGGGAGCAAACAGG
rnacentral:rRNA from 1 species